GACGAACGCUGGCGGCGUGCUUAACACAUGCAAGUCGAACGGAAAGGCCCUGCUUGCAGGGUACUCGAGUGGCGAACGGGUGAGUAACGCGUGGGUGAUCUGCCCUGCACUUCGGGAUAAGCUUGGGAAACUGGGUCUAAUACCGGAUAGGAGCCAUCUUUAGUGUGGUGGUUGGAAAGUUUUUUCGGUGUAGGAUGAGCUCGCGGCCUAUCAGCUUGUUGGUGGGGUAAUGGCCUACCAAGGCGGCGACGGGUAGCCGGCCUGAGAGGGUGUACGGCCACAUUGGGACUGAGAUACGGCCCAGACUCCUACGGGAGGCAGCAGUGGGGAAUAUUGCACAAUGGGCGCAAGCCUGAUGCAGCGACGCCGCGUGGGGGAUGAAGGCCUUCGGGUUGUAAACUCCUUUCGCUAGGGACGAAGCUUUUUUGUGACGGUACCUAGAUAAGAAGCACCGGCUAACUACGUG
rnacentral:rRNA from 1 species